GAUAAACGCUAGCGGCAGGCUUAACACGUGCAAGUCGAGGGGCAGCAUAGAUUGUAGCAAUACAAUUGGUGGCGACCGGCGCACGGGUGCGUAACGCGUAUGCAACCUACCCGUCACAGGGGGAUAAUCCGGAGAAAUCUGGUCUAAUACCCCAUAACAUAUGGAUCGGCAUCGGUUCAUGUUGAAAUUUGCGGAGGUGACGGAUGGGCAUGCGUAGCAUUAGCUUGUUGGUGAGGUAACGGCUCACCAAGGCGACGAUGCUUAGGGGGACUGAGAGGUUUUCCCCCCACACUGGUACUGAGACACGGACCAGACUCCUACGGGAGGCAGCAGUGAGGAAUAUUGGUCAAUGGGCGCAAGCCUGAACCAGCCAUGCCGCGUGCAGGAUGACGGCUCUAUGAGUUGUAAACUGCUUUUGUACGAGGGUAAAGUGGGUUACGUGUAACCUUUUGAAAGUAUCGUACGAAUAAGGAUCGGCUAACUCCGUGCCAGCAGCCGCAGUAA
rnacentral:rRNA from 1 species